AUUGAACGCUGGCGGCAGGCCUAACACAUGCAAGUCGAGCGGAUGACAGGAGCUUGCUCCUGAAUUCAGCGGCGGACGGGUGAAUAAUACCUAGGAAUCUGCCUGGUAGUGGGGGACAACGUCUCGAAAGGGACGCUAAUACCGCAUACGUCCUACGGGAGAAAGCAGGGGACCUUCGGGCCUUGCGCUAUCAGAUGAGCCUAGGUCGGAUUAGCUAGUUGGUGAGGUAAUGGCUCACCAAGGCGACGAUCCGUAACUGGUCUGAGAGGAUGAUCAGUCACACUGGAACUGAGACACGGUCCAGACUCCUACGGGAGGCAGCAGUGGGGAAUAUUGGACAAUGGGCGAAAGCCUGAUCCAGCCAUGCCGCGUGUGUGAAGAAGGUCUUCGGAUUGUAAAGCACUUUAAGUUGGGAGGAAGGGCAGUUACCUAAUACGUAAUUGUUUUGACGUUACCGACAGAAUAAGCACCGGCUAACUCUGUGCCAGCCGCCGCGGUAAAAC
rnacentral:rRNA from 1 species